rnacentral:lncRNA from 12 species
CUGGCGAUUCAGAGCUACCUCCAGGCCCCUCCAGGAUGAGUGAAGGUGCUCAAGAGCGCGAGUCUACCCCAGAACCUCCUGAGGAAGCGUUUUUCAACUCUGGAUCUCUUGGGACUUUGUCAGUGGAGCGAGCCAUGUACAAAUUUCAAUUCCAGUCUGAGCCUAUCAUUUCACCAGUUCCCAUGGACCAUCAAAGCACUUUGCUGACAGUUCCAGAGAGCAGCAGCUGCGCAUUUCCUGAGCAGCACUUGCCAGUUUACUGCCCAUCAGCCACGCCAGGCACUUCAGCCCCCAGUGCUCCAGCUGGCCAUGCUGGUUAUGCACCAUGGAGAGCCCCCAGGUGGCUCUGGGAUACUCCUGGGGAAGAGGAAUUGCCUCCGCUUGAUCUGGACAUGGUGCUUGAGACACUGGAGGAGAUGCUUUCAUCCUCCCCACGUGAAAGGUCUCCCUCUGCUCAGGUAACUCCAGUGAACAGGGGUGAAAAGGGCUGACUGAGAGCUUUUGAAAGUUGUUACUUGGCUGAGAAGCAAAGGCUUCUUGAAUUCAAUUGUGAAUGGACAGGGAAGGAUUAUCUUGGUAAAGUAAGUUUUCUAAGAAAAGAGGAAUGAGAAAGUCUUCCCCCUGAGUGAGGAUAUGAGGUGUGAG